rnacentral:rRNA from 1 species
UUAAGUUAUUAAGGGCGCACGGUGGAUGCCUUGGCACUAGAAGCCGAUGAAGGACGUUACUAACGACGAUAUGCUUUGGGGAGCUGUAAGUAAGCUUUGAUCCAGAGAUUUCCGAAUGGGGAAACCCAGCAUGAGUUAUGUCAUGUUAUCGAUAUGUGAAUACAUAGCAUAUCAGAAGGCACACCCGGAGAACUGAAACAUCUUAGUACCCGGAGGAAGAGAAAGAAAAUUCGAUUCCCUUAGUAGCGGCGAGCGAAACGGGAAGAGCCCAAACCAACAAGCUUGCUUGUUGGGGUUGUAGGACACUCUAUACGGAGUUACAAAGGACGACAUUAGACGAAUCAUCUGGAAAGAUGAAUCAAAGAAGGUAAUAAUCCUGUAGUCGAAAAUGUUGUCUCUCUUGAGUGGAUCCUGAGUAAGACGGAGCACGUGAAAUUCCGUCGGAAUCUGGGAGGACCAUCUCCUAAGGCUAAAUACUCUCUAGUGACCGAUAGUGAACCAGUACCGUGAGGGAAAGGUGAAAAGCACCCCGGAAGGGGAGUGAAAUAGAACCUGAAACCGUGUGCUUACAAGUAGUCAGAGCCCGUUAAUGGGUGAUGGCGUGCCUUUUGUAGAAUGAACCGGCGAGUUACGAUUUGAUGCAAGGUUAAGCAGUAAAUGUGGAGCCGUAGCGAAAGCGAGUCUGAAUAGGGCGUUUAGUAUUUGGUCGUAGACCCGAAACCAGGUGAUCUACCCUUGGUCAGGUUGAAGUUCAGGUAACACUGAAUGGAGGACCGAACCGACUUACGUUGAAAAGUGAGCGGAUGAACUGAGGGUAGCGGAGAAAUUCCAAUCGAACCUGGAGAUAGCUGGUUCUCUCCGAAAUAGCUUUAGGGCUAGCCUCAAGUGAUGAUUAUUGGAGGUAGAGCACUGUUUGGACGAGGGGCCCCUCUCGGGUUACCGAAUUCAGACAAACUCCGAAUGCCAAUUAAUUUAACUUGGGAGUCAGAACAUGGGUGAUAAGGUCCGUGUUCGAAAGGGAAACAGCCCAGACCACCAGCUAAGGUCCCAAAAUAUAUGUUAAGUGGAAAAGGAUGUGGCGUUGCCCAGACAACUAGGAUGUUGGCUUAGAAGCAGCCAUCAUUUAAAGAGUGCGUAAUAGCUCACUAGUCGAGUGACACUGCGCCGAAAAUGUACCGGGGCUAAACAUAUUACCGAAGCUGUGGAUUGUCCUUUGGACAAUGGUAGGAGAGCGUUCUAAGGGCGUUGAAGCAUGAUCGUAAGGACAUGUGGAGCGCUUAGAAGUGAGAAUGCCGGUGUGAGUAGCGAAAGACGGGUGAGAAUCCCGUCCACCGAUUGACUAAGGUUUCCAGAGGAAGGCUCGUCCGCUCUGGGUUAGUCGGGUCCUAAGCUGAGGCCGACAGGCGUAGGCGAUGGAUAACAGGUUGAUAUUCCUGUACCACCUAUAAUCGUUUUAAUCGAUGGGGGGACGCAGUAGGAUAGGCGAAGCGUGCGAUUGGAUUGCACGUCUAAGCAGUAAGGCUGAGUAUUAGGCAAAUCCGGUACUCGUUAAGGCUGAGCUGUGAUGGGGAGAAGACAUUGUGUCUUCGAGUCGUUGAUUUCACACUGCCGAGAAAAGCCUCUAGAUAGAAAAUAGGUGCCCGUACCGCAAACCGACACAGGUAGUCAAGAUGAGAAUUCUAAGGUGAGCGAGCGAACUCUCGUUAAGGAACUCGGCAAAAUGACCCCGUAACUUCGGGAGAAGGGGUGCUCUUUAGGGUUAACGCCCAGAAGAGCCGCAGUGAAUAGGCCCAAGCGACUGUUUAUCAAAAACACAGGUCUCUGCUAAACCGUAAGGUGAUGUAUAGGGGCUGACGCCUGCCCGGUGCUGGAAGGUUAAGAGGAGUGGUUAGCUUCUGCGAAGCUACGAAUCGAAGCCCCAGUAAACGGCGGCCGUAACUAUAACGGUCCUAAGGUAGCGAAAUUCCUUGUCGGGUAAGUUCCGACCCGCACGAAAGGCGUAACGAUUUGGGCACUGUCUCAACGAGAGACUCGGUGAAAUCAUAGUACCUGUGAAGAUGCAGGUUACCCGCGACAGGACGGAAAGACCCCGUGGAGCUUUACUGUAGCCUGAUAUUGAAAUUCGGCACAGCUUGUACAGGAUAGGUAGGAGCCUUUGAAACGUGAGCGCUAGCUUACGUGGAGGCGCUGGUGGGAUACUACCCUAGCUGUGUUGGCUUUCUAACCCGCACCACUUAUCGUGGUGGGAGACAGUGUCAGGCGGGCAGUUUGACUGGGGCGGUCGCCUCCUAAAAGGUAACGGAGGCGCUCAAAGGUUCCCUCAGAAUGGUUGGAAAUCAUUCAUAGAGUGUAAAGGCAUAAGGGAGCUUGACUGCGAGACCUACAAGUCGAGCAGGGUCGAAAGACGGACUUAGUGAUCCGGUGGUUCCGCAUGGAAGGGCCAUCGCUCAACGGAUAAAAGCUACCCCGGGGAUAACAGGCUUAUCUCCCCCAAGAGUUCACAUCGACGGGGAGGUUUGGCACCUCGAUGUCGGCUCAUCGCAUCCUGGGGCUGUAGUCGGUCCCAAGGGUUGGGCUGUUCGCCCAUUAAAGCGGUACGCGAGCUGGGUUCAGAACGUCGUGAGACAGUUCGGUCCCUAUCCGUCGUGGGCGUAGGAAAUUUGAGAGGAGCUGUCCUUAGUACGAGAGGACCGGGAUGGACAUACCUCUGGUGUACCAGUUGUCGUGCCAACGGCAUAGCUGGGUAGCUAUGUGUGGACGGGAUAAGUGCUGAAAGCAUCUAAGCAUGAAGCCCCCCUC